GGAGAGGUGGCCGAGUGGCUGAAGGCACUCGCCUGCUAAGCGAGUAUGGGGUUACAAGCUCCAUCGAGGGUUCGAAUCCCUCCCUCUCCG
rnacentral:tRNA from 1 species